UUAAAAGGAAACUUUCACCAUGUCUAGAGCCCUUGAUGUCCUGCAAAUGAAGGAGCAGGAUGUCCUUAAGUUCCUUGCAGCAGGAACCCACUUAGGUGGCACCAACCUUGACUUCCAGAUGGAACAGUACAUCUAUAAAAGGAAAAGUGAUGGCAUCUACAUCCUAAAUCUGAAGAGAACCUGGGAGAAGCUCCUGCUGGCAGCUCAUGCCAUUGUUGCCAUUGAAAACCCUGCUGAUGUCAGUGUCAUAUCUUCCAGGAAUACUGGCCAGAGGGCCAUGCUGAAGUUUGCUGCUGCCACUGGAGCCACUCCAAUUGCUGGCGGCUUUACUCCCAGAGCCUUCACCAACCACAUCCAGGCAGCCUUCCAGGAGCCACAGUUUCUUGUGGUUACUGACCUCAGGAAGGACCACCAGCUUCUCAUGGAGGCAUCUUAUGUUAACCUGCCCCCCAUCUCUCUGUGUAAUACAGAUUCUCCUCUGUGCUAAUGUGGACCUUGCUGUACCAUGCAACAACAAAGGAGCUCACUCCGUGGGUUUGAUGUGGUGGAUGCUGGCUCGGGAAGUUCUGCACAUGUGUGGCACCAUUUUGUGUGAACACUUGUGGGAGGUCAUGCCUGAUCUCUAUUUCUACAGAGAACCUGAAGAGAUUGAAAAAGAAGAGCAGGCUGCUGCUGAAAAGGCUGUGACCAAGGAGGAAUUUCAGGGUAAAUGGACUGCUCCAGCUCCUGAGUUCACUGCUACUUAGCCUGAGGUUGCAGACUGGUCUGAAGGCAUGCAGGUGCCCUCUGUGCCUAUCCAGCAGUUCCCUACUAAAGACUGGAAUGCUCAGCCUGCCACAGUAGACUUGUUUGCAGCUCCCAUUGCUCAGGGCACUGAAAGGGUAGG